GAUUUUUCCCCCUCUAUCUCUCUAAACACUGCGCUCUUCAUUUUUCUUCAAAUUUUCUUCAAAUUUGUCGCAAGUUUAGCUUCAAUUUGGGAGGUUGUCUAGAUUUUGUAGCAAAUUUUGGGAUCCAUAGAGAUGAUGCGAGCAACAAUUUGAGAGUUUUUAAGCUUGAAUUCAUCAGUAUUGUUGUAUAAUUUGGAUUCCUUCUAAAGUUUCUUAAUGAGAGAGUUCAUCAACUUUUUCUGCGAAACUCCCGAAGUAAAGUUCUGCUUCUGUUAGACCUUUAUUUCUCUUGGGAUGGAAGCAUGUAUAGAGAACUAAGGACAGAGGAGGGAAAACUGGGAGAUGAAUGCAACUGAAUAAUAAGGUAUGGUUGAACAUAUUACUCCACAUGUAAGUGUAAAAUACACUCGCUUCUAGUUUUGCAGAGAAAUUCAAAUCUGAAUCAAGUAAGCUAAUAUCUCUUAAAAGAAACUAAGUUCCUUUUAAAUUAAACUAAAUCUAUAAGGAUGACUUGUUUUGGUGGUUGUUUUGGCAACUUGAAGUUUACAAUGUUUGAUUAAGGCCCUGAGUUCUUUUCUAUCAGAUUGGUGUGUAUGAAAUCAUGUAUUCUUUUCUCUUAUUUUAAAAAGUAGAUCAAUAUGAUAAAAGUAAAUAGAUUAAGCUGAGAAGUAAACUAAAUCUAUAUAGAAGUUUCUGCAUGUUAAUAUCAAACUAGCUUGAUUCAGUCUGUUCUGGUUCUGGUUCUUGUUUGGAAUCAUUAGCUUCAGUAGAUAGCUCAGACGGUGAUGGUUCUACGUCAGUAAAUGCAGGGAUAUUUGGUUGCAUGGGUUUCUUGAAUUGAACCAGAAUCAUUGUCAUGUUGUCGCAACCUUCACACUAGCAGUUGAAGGGGCCAAACACCUGUCCGUUACUCUCUCACUCAACGCAGAGCGUUUAGUUUCCUGCAAUGUUCAUCAUAACAAAUUACUCAUGAACAUCCACACAUUAACGAAUUGCCAUCAAAAUCCAAAGAACAAAAAGCUGUACUUUCAUCUUGGCAUUGAAUGAAAUUAAGAAAAGUAUUAUGCUUAAAGUUCCAAAGGAUGUAGCUUCUAUUUUAUAUUUAACUUGAAUUUUGGAGAAUACAUCAAUUUGAAUACAAUU